GACAGAGGGUGCAAACGUUGUUCGGAAUUACUGGGCGUAAAGCGCGUGUAGGCGGCCCUGCAAGUCGGGUGUGAAAUCCUACGGCUCAACCGUGGAAGUGCACUCGAAACUGCAGGGCUAGAGUCCUGGAGAGGAAGGUGGAAUGCUUGGUGUAGAGGUGAAAUUCGUAGAUAUCAAGCGGAACACCGGUGGCGAAGGCGGCCUUCUGGACAGUGACUGACGCUGAGACGCGAAAGCGUGGGGAGCAAACAGG
rnacentral:rRNA from 1 species